AGUGAGAGGGUAGUGAGCCUUACUUUCUGCCCUUUUUCCAACUUGUUGAUUACGGCUUUUUUUGUAUUUGCGGGUGGGUUGUGUGUGUUUUUGGGUUGAGUGUAUUAAGUGUUGGGUGAAAAGCCUUGUGUUCGCUAAAUGAUUUAUGGGAGGGAAUUUUUCCAGGUUUUCAUUUUAUUUCAAACGGACACUGGAUUUAUUUGACACUUGUGUCUAUUGGCUUAUUGGUAUUGGCUGGGGAAGAGAGGAAGCAGUACUAUCGCUAUGGAUUGUAGGACAUAGAUGUUUUAUAUUUUUGCCAUGUGUAGAAUGGUUUUAAUUUGCCUGUCCCGAGUUACUUUUCUCUUGUCUGAGAAAUUUAGUGGGGGUAGUAAGGCUGGCUGUGCUUUUCCUGUCUUGAGCUGCAAAUGUCUGUUACUUUCUUGCACUUGAAAAUAAAUGUCGGUAUUUGAUAAAGUAAGUGCAUUUUGUGGGAGACUGAGCUGUCAGUUUUUUUUUUCUUUGACUAGCUUAUGUGGGGUGGUGAUGGGGGACGAUUUUGUAAAAUGGUGAAAUGAGCAGUGACUGUGGAAGUUUGUGUUUAAAGCUCUGUGAUGAUGAAAAGAAUGUUGAAAGAAUUCCUUUUCAUUUUGAUGAAGGUCGUAAACUGCAUGUGAUGUUAAAACGAGUUAACUACUUUAGAUUUAACAUUCAUAAAUACUUGGAUAAAAUGUCAAGACUCAUGUAGUCUUUUGGUCAUCUUUUAAUUUAUGUCUGAAUUUGUUUCAUUGGCGUUAGAGUUUGAAGUUAAACUGUUCUUGGUGUCAUUUAAUGAACAGGCAUUGGGUGUGUGUGUGAGACAAGAAUGAGUUUUUGGUGGAUCCUUUAGAACAUUACAGUUGAUUGCCAAAAGUCUCAUUUUAUCAGCACAUGGAAGGUGUUGACUUUUAAAAAAGGAGUGAGUGAUAAUUUACUUAUAACACCCAUUGUAAGUCUGCAAAUCAGUGAUUUCUAGUCAUUUUAAAGAGUUGUGCAGCCAUCACGGCAACCCAGUUUUAGAACAUUUCCAUCAUGUCAAAUGGUUUCGUUAUAUCCGUUCUGUAAGUCUAACAGAACAGAAUGGAGAAGUCAUGGGCAACAGGUUGCUUCCCUACCAUGCUGAUGUACCCUGAGCCUUUCAAGGUAGAAAAUAAAAGUGCAUGUUAGAAUGUGUGUGUAAGGUGGCAAGUGGCUGGGGGAGAAACACUAUCCCUUUCUUAAGUGGUAAAGUAGUAUUUCCCAUCCUGCUUUGCCAGUCUCAAGAAAGAGGAUACCGGCUUUUAAAAGUAGAAGAAAAAAACUACAAAUGCAUGAAUGUACCCAACUGUGUGUGUUUUUUUUUUCUUUGUAUUUUCCACCUUCCUACACUUCCAGCUGAUGUUUUUUUUGUUGUGGUGGUGGUUUUUUUUUUUUUUUUUUAAAUGAAGAGACAAGGUCUUGCUAUGUUGCUCAGGUUGGUCUUGAAUUCCUGGCCUCAAGGGAUCCUCCUCCAUUGGCCUCCCAAAGUGCUGGGAUUUGCCCAGCCCCUAACUGUUGUUUUGUUAAGUUGCAUUUCUCAAGAUUGGGCAGAGUAGCUUCCUAGACUUGGUGAUUUAAUUUUACUUUUCUUGUCUUGUUAUUUCUCUGCAUUCAAUGUUACCUUAAUUGUAAAAUAAAAAUUACCAAGACAUUGCUGAAUAUAGUUGUUGAUUAGUGUUCCCUUGAUAGUAGUCCUGCAUUUUUACUUUCAGCUACUGCUUAAUCACAUUCAUUUGCAAAAUUGGAAAAUUUUUACUUUGGCUAAUUACCAUAGGUUUAGAACUUUCUGGUCUUCAGCUCCAGAAAUGUAUCGCUGUGUUGAGAUCAUGUUUUAUUUCAUCCAUGUUUAUUUGAAUACUGCCCCUCUGAAAAGCUGACUGUUUUUGGAGCUUUUAUACACAAGUAUGAGUGAGGAAAUUACUUUAGGUGUAGAAUAAAAUUGUGUAGAAAUAAUUAUCUUUGAAAAAAUUUGGUAUUCAGGAUAUUGAAUUGGAAGUGUUGAAGAAGCAGCUGUUUUGUGUGUAAUACGUUUCUCUUGUUUGAGAAUUUACCAGUUUUUUGCAGUUGUAGCUUUGAACUAUCCAUUCCCCCCUUAAAUUUAGAUACCCUGACAACCAAAAAUCUCUUGAAUUGUCAUGAAGUACUUUAGUAGAAGUUUUAUGGAAAAACACAACAUAGCUAUGAUCUUUGCUGGAAGCUUCAAAAAGGCAUCAUCGUGUGAUGCUUUUUAGGUAGAAAAACUCCCAGAAAUAAGAUAAGGUACCUACACUGGGCAAAGCCCAAGCCUCUUACUCAUGUUUCCUGGUAAUCCACAGCAGUGGUUUUGCUCCUUUCAUGACAUUGUUUUUGUUGUAGUGUUUGUCUUUCAUAAAAAUUCUCCAUAAAAAUAUAUAAAAAUUACCUGUCUUCCAAAUCAAACUUUUAUCAAACCUUCCAAGCUGAAAGCUGGUACAAUUUAAGAUCAUUUUACCCAGGAACAGAGUAAUAAUUUAUUUUGUGUUUACUGUUUCAUUGGACUUACUGAUUUAUUGGUGGUGACUUGAUCUUAUGUGUACUUGGUGACCUUAAAGUAAAUUACCUGGGUAGUUGUGGUCAUUUGACAAGUUUUUAUUGAGCACACAGCCAUUUGCGCUCUUGGUGUACAGUGGUAUAAAGACAGACCAGGUCCCUGUUCUUACGGAGCUUAAAAUACUAUGGAAAGGAAGAGAAAAUAAACUAACAGAAAAAUAACAAUUUCAGCUGGCGACAAGUGCUACGAAGAAUUUAGAGAAGGGUAAGGAACUACAGAGUGAUGAGAACUGGGUGGAGUGACUGCUUUAUAGACAAUGUUGAGAUAAUGCAUUUAAUUUUUUAGGAAAAAGUAAUGCUACUUCCUUUUGGAGCCGGGGAUAAUUCUUAUGUAGGUUUACCUGUGCCAUUUAGCUCAUUUGGUUGGGGGACAGACAGCUUUUAGAUUUGGAGCCCUUGUGCAUAGGCUGCUAAACUUAUAAACUUAGUUCCAUGUUGUAGACUAAACCUAGGCCAGCUAAUUUACUAGUAUUGUUAGUCAUUAGGGUGGGAGAUUAUGAAUGGAUUCACUUACAUAUUAUUUAUUCAUGUGGCAUAUAUUUGUUGUGUAUUUCAGUAGGUGCUGAAGAAAAUUCCAGGAUUAAGAAAAACUUUCUCAAGUAGCUGUAGUUUACCAAAAUAGUUAUCAGAACUAAUUUGGUUCAUUAGGACUUUGAGUAAAUAGUAGGUCUCUCGUGUCCUAAAUGACUUGAGCUAACACAUUCUGCAGUCUUUCUGGCACUUCUUUUCUCUUUUGCCUCAUCACCCAUGCUUUUUCUCUUUGUGGCAUCUUCUGUGUUACUUUUCAUAACUAGUACUCCCACUUCCCUUUUUACCUAUAGAUACAAACUUUUUCAACGGUCGCAUACAUAGAAGUGCACAAAUCGUAAGUAUAAGGAUUUGAUAAAGUUUUGCAGAAUGAGCAUAUCUUUGCCACUAGCACCCAGAUUGAUUUUUUUUUUUUUUUUGAGACAGGUAUCUGGCUCUGUUGCCCAGGCUAGAGUGUGGUGGUGUAAUCACAGCUCACUGUAGCCCCUACUUUGAGGCCCAGGUGAUACUCUCACCUCAGCCUCCUGAGUAGUUGGGACCAUAGACAUGUGCCAUCAUGCCUGGCACAUUUUUAAGGGCUUUUUUUUUUUCUUUUUGUGAGACACGGUCUCCCUAUGUUGCCUAGGCUAGUGUCUUAUUUCUGGGCUCAAGCGAUCCUCCCGCCUCAGCCUCCCAGAGAGUUGGUAUUAUAGGCAUGAGCCACUGUGCUGGCUUGCACCUAGAUUCUUAAAGAGAACAUUACUAGAACAUUACCGGAAGCCCCUUGUGCACUGUCCCCUGUGGGCCACUUCUCCCACCCCAUUCCUGUCUUUUAAUACUAGAGAUCAGUUGUGCUUGUUUUUGAAAUUUAUGUGAGUGGAGUAUACUAUGUAUACAGUACACAGUAAAUACUGUAUGUACCACUGCCUAUAUACAGUAUACUCCACAGUGAGUGAAACAAGCCAGACUCAGAAGCAUACAUACUGUAUGUACCACUUUGCUUAGUAGCCACAGUGUAUGCACCAUGGUACAUGCAUAUACUUCUGAAUCUGGCUUGUUUCACUCAUGGUUAGGUGUGCAGGAUUCAUCCAUGUUGUUGUGUGCAGUUCUUGCUUAUUUUACCAGUCUGUCUUAUCCUGAGAAUAUCUUUGACAUUCAACUCUGCAUGCAGACCCUUCCUUACACGUUCUAGAGAGAGGACCUGUCUUCACCCUGUGUUUAUUACCCACAUACUUGAACAGCUGUUUCCUCCAGGCAUCAUUAUGCAAAAGGAAUGAAACCCGGUGUGUGCAGCUUUUUUAGAGGACGUAAAAGGAGUCAGCUCUUGCCUCUCAUCAAUAGUAUUGUUUAUCAGUCAUUUCUCUUUUGAGGCAUUGGUUGAAUAAAUGGGAAAAUUCCUGCUUUCAAGGAACUUAGCAGACUUGUUGACAGAUAAGACCAUAAGAAGAAAGCCAGUGAAGUACCCAGUGAUGUGAACGCCAUGGUAUGAGCAAGUACAUAAUAGAGACCACAAGUGCUUUUUAGAAGUUAGAGAUAGUCAUUCUCUGGGGCUUCCUCAGGAAAAUCCUCGCUGAAUCUGGGAUCUAAACUGGGCCUUAUGAUUCUUGGAUAUAAGUUCCCUACUCCCCGCCCCACACCCCCUCUAAAAAAAAAGUACUAGAAGUUACACACAGAACUGUAGCCUUGGAGGCUGUAGGCAGUGCAUUUAAAGUACUUCUGGAGUGGUUUUGAGCUUCAGAGCAUUGACACACUUCCCUAAAUAACUGUGACAAUUCUUUCUAUUUGCUGUUGCCCAUCGGUGAUUUCAGUGGCCAGUAGUCAUACUGGAAAGUCUGAUAAUAAAGCAGGGGAUCAGUCAUGUGGUACCAAACCAGUUGUGGGGAAUGUUAGAUGUGUUAAGAUGUGAUUAGCAACGACAUUCCUGUUUGUAAACUGGCAUCUAUGGCGGUUUAAAAAUGGUGGCAAAACCAUUUUGAGUAUUGUUGGAAAUGUUAUCUGUUCUGCCGUGUUAAUAUACCUAUAAGUUGGUAGUUGCAUCUUGUACCCUUGAUAGUCAUACUUUGUACAUUGUGUAUGCCACUCUUCUGUUGAGUAAUUUGGAUUAAUUACUUUGGAGAUUGAAGUCUUGACUCAUUCACUUCACUCAUUUAUUUAGCUGUAUUUUCAGUUCCAUGCAAUGAGUGACACAGACUGUGCUGCCAAAAAGGAAUUCUCAGUAAGGGCAAUGCACAUAAAUUACUGUGUUACUCAGAAAUCAUGAAUAGUUGAGAUCACAAGGAAAUCUACUUAAAUUGUCCUGUGGUUGGGAAAAGAAACUAGUGGAAGGAAUAUGUUAAAAAAGCAUCUUUCUUAAAAUGUAUUCAAAAUAUUUUUCUCUACAAUUUAAGAGCAUUAGCAAAUACAACCUAGGAUGAAACUUUAACAGCCUUUGAGAGGGACAAGAAAUGAAAUUAAGGGUGAUAUAUGAUGCCAGUAUCAUCGGUGUAUUGGGUCUCAUAAUACAUACAAUACAUGGUAGUUAGUCAUAGGGAGAAAACAAACCUGGUGGCUGCUUUCUAAGAACAAAUCAGAUUUCUUGUGUAGCUAUGUGGUUUAACUGUUCUUGCCCUUCUUUUACAAAACUAAACAGAGUGCUGGUUCUCAAACUUUAGCAUGUUAUCAGAAUCACUUGGAAGAAGACUUCUUCAACACAUUGCUGAGUCCCAUUCCCAGAGGUUCAGAAAAUUAGAUGUUGACAUUUUCAAAGUGAACUUAAGAGAAGAUAAUUUCAAGAAUUAACAUUCUUGAAAUGACAAAAUUACAGAGAUAAGAGAACACAUUAGUGGUUGCCAGGAGUUAGGACUAGUGGCAGGAGGGAGGGAGAUGGAUGUAACUGUAAAAGGGUAGCAAGAGGAAGAUCUUUGUGGUGAUGAAGACCAUUUAAAUUAGAGGAGGACAAUAAGAUGUCACUUGAGGAGUUACCUUGCUCCGAAUUAUCCUGAGGUUAUUAGCCUAUUCAGAUAAGCUAUAAUGUAAAAAGUUAACAUAAGCCUGUAUAGAUUAGAUGAUUUAUUUUGCUUGUUGCAGUGUUUCUCUUUAUAAAGUUGAGUAUUCUUCAUCCUGUCUUUUGGAUACAUAUACCUAUAAAAACGGGCCAAGAAUAUGCAUUCUGUGCUGACUGCC
rnacentral:lncRNA from 1 species